CCGCAGGGCUGCUGGGCUGACCUCUUUCAGCUGGAGAAAGCCAUAAGCGCUCACUAACCUGCCGUGCUCACCAUGAACUUCCACUUGACCACAUAGGCAUCCCCCUCGUGGAACUGCCCGAUGCUUUGUUUGGGGAGCCUGCUAUAGUCAAAUUCCAGGAUGUACCAGACAUCCACGGAGACACUGGUGAUCUCAAACUGCCUCCUGUGGUGUCCUUCCACCAGGCCACAGCCACAGCCAAUGUUCACCCUGUCCAGGAUGGCACCUGCUGUCGUCUGGGGCACGGACACCAUCCGUGUCACGUUGUUCCGCUUGACAUCGGCCCUGGAGUCUUCCUAUAGGGGAACAUGAAGACAUCGGUUCAGUUGCCUGUUUCCGCAGCUAUUCCUUGUCACACUCAACGCUGCUUCAGCUGUUCAUGGGACAGCAUAAAAAUACACCUUCCACACUCUGUCUCAGGAUGUUUAACUGCAGUCAGGGAAAGGCUGCAUUUUCAGAAAGACUCUGGCAGGUCUGAACACCCAUUGGCCACACUGGUGCAUGGGGUGCCUGAAAACAGGUGCAAACCCGACUCUUCACCUCCCAGAGUCAGAUUAGAAUUGGAGGCCAGUCUGCUGUUCUAUUAGUGAAUCCUGGGAAGGCCUCUUAGCUUUAAGGGGUGUGUGUGUGUGUGUGUGUAUGUGUGUCCAUUUUUUUUAAUUAAAAAAGUAUUUUAGUUGACACAUUAUUAUGGAUAUGAUUUGAUGUGUUGAUAAAUGCAUCUGUUUCAUGGGGAAGGGGGUGUGGGAAGGAGACGGGACAGGGAGGAUAGGGAGAUGUUGGCCAACAGGUACAAAAUGACAAUCAGAGAGGAGGAAUGAGCUCUGGUUUUCUCCUGCACAGUGGGGUGACUGUUUUCCAAUACUGUAUUGCAUAUUUCAAAAUAGCUAGAAGAGAAGAUUUGAAUGUUCUCACCACAAAGAAAUGAUACAUCUGGGGUGACAGCCAUGCGAACUAUCCUGAUUUGAUCAUUUUACAUCAAG
rnacentral:lncRNA from 10 species